CAGCAGCCGCGGGAAAACGUAGGUGGCAAGCGUUGUCCGGAAUUAUUGGGCGUAAAGGGCUCGCAGGCGGUUUCUUAAGUCUGAUGUGAAAGCCCCCGGCUCAACCGGGGAGGAUCAUUGGAAACUGGGAAACUUGAGUGCAGAAGAGGAGAGUGGAAUUCCACGUGUAGCGGUGAAAUGCGUAGAGAUGUGGAGGAACACCAGUGGCGAAGGCGACUCUCUGGUCUGUAACUGACGCUGAGGAGCGAAAGCGUGGGGAGCGAACAGGAUUAGAUACCCGAGUAGUCCCUGUCUCUUAUAC
rnacentral:rRNA from 1 species